rnacentral:lncRNA from 1 species
UCAGUGAGGAUUAUGGGAAGAACUUUAAGGAUAUUACAAAUCUCAUCAAUAACACCUUUAUUCGGACUGAAUUUGGCAUGGCUAUUGGUCCUGAGAACUCUGGAAAGGUGGUAUUAACAGCAGAGGUGUCUGGAGGAAGUCGUGGAGGAAGAAUCUUCAGAUCAUCAGAUUUUGCGAAGAAUUUUGUGCAAACAGAUCUCCCUUUUCAUCCUCUCACUCAGAUGAUGUAUAGCCCUCAGAAUUCUGAUUAUCUUUUAGCUCUCAGCACUGAAGUAAGUCCAGUUGAGGAACAUGGUUUGCCUUUUGCAUUUUAUAGUCUCAAAUGUACUGUCUUAGAAGGAUCCUUUAGGAAAUGCUUUUAAUAUUGGACUUCUUUCGAGUCUCCUUAUGGCAUGAAGUAUGUAUUUUUUUGACGCUUUUUCCUAUUUGGUAAAGGACACGAUUUCCACAUGCUAUCUAUUCCAGGUAAGUGUGAUGCCUAGUUGUCACUGUAAUUUUUUUAAGUGAC